CUGGUUUAGCCUGGAGGAACAGUCGUUUUAUACUUCUUAUCAGAUCGUAUCAAUGCAAUGGUGGUAGUGAUGACAUAAAAAAAAAGAAGAAAUAAAAUUAAAAAGGGCACUGUCACGUUAAAUGACACUAAAAAUUUAUAUAAGGGAUGCUAUCAAUUUCUGUACUAUCGUAAAUUGCGUCCAGUGAUUGAAUAAUUCAGAUCGCCGGUUCUCGUGAGCGCAUCUUCUAUUCAUGUAUAGUACAUCAAUAUUGUCUAACUUUCAAGAUUUGUUUUCUCAAGAUCACUCAAGAUUGACAUUCUACAAAAUAAAUUAAAACAAAUGACAUCGUGAAAUUCAACUAAGGUGUGAAGAUAAAAGGGGAUAAAUGUGACAUGUACAGCAUAAAACAUAACACAGGCUAAGGUAUAAUUGUGACAUGUAAUUAUAUUCAUGUAAGUCAAAUGGAUAGAAUUUAGAAAGAACUAUACUUACUACUGUUUUUAUACAUAAAAAAAAAAUAUUUUUUAAAGAAAUCAAUUUACAUUCCAUACAGGAUAUGUACGUCUUUCAAAUAUAUUUUAAUCUUCCAGUGAGGGUUGAAACAAUUAAAGAAAAUGUAUAUAAAAAUAUAUAUAUGUUAUAAUAAGUACACUUAAUUUGUAUUAGUUUUGUAUUGAAAUUCAUUGUAGAAAGCAUUAUAUCUUUUAGUUUACUUUUUUUAUUAAACAUUGAUAUUUAAAAAUAUAUAUGUAGUACAAAAAAA